CGGGGUGUAGCGAAGUUUGGCUAUCGCGCAACGUUCGGGACGUUGAGAUCGCAGGUUCGAAUCCUGUCACUCCGG
rnacentral:tRNA from 1 species